GAGUUUGAUCGUGGCUCAGAUUGAACGCUGGCGGCAUGCCUAACACAUGCAAGUCGAACGAGGUGUAGCAAUACAUCUAGUGGCGGACGGGUGAGGAACACGUAGGAAUUUGCCUUAGAGCGGGGGAUAGCCCAGGGAAACUUGGAGUAAUACCGCAUGAUGUCGAAGGACCAAAGCAGGGGACCGCAAGGCCUUGCACUCUGAGAGAAGCCUACGUCUGAUUAGCUAGUUGGUGAGGUAAUGGCUCACCAAGGCGACGAUCAGUAACUGGUCUGAGAGGACGAUCAGUCACACUGGAACUGAGACACGGUCCAGACUCCUACGGGAGGCAGCAGUGGGGAAUAUUGGACAAUGGGCGAAAGCCUGAUCCAGCAAUGCCGCGUGUGUGAAGAAGGCC
rnacentral:rRNA from 1 species